CGGGAUGUAGCUCAGUUUGGCUAGAGCGCACGGUUCGGGACCGUGAGGCCGCUGGUUCAAAUCCAGUCAUCCCGACCA
rnacentral:tRNA from 2 species